CGGAGGAUCAUUAUCGAGUAACAUCUGUUGAAUCUGUAGCUGGCCAAGCUUUGGCAAUGUGCACGAUUUCAACCUUUUACAAACACACACACACUUGUGCAUUCUUUGUAGAUUCUUGUGAGAGGAUCUAUGUAAUUUUAUUUUACAACUUUACUCUGCAUGGCAUGAUGUUGGUUUUAUAUACACAUGAUAUACAACUUUCAGCAAUGGAUCUCUUGGCUCUCGCAUCGAUGAAGAACGCAGCGAAUUGCGAUAAGUAAUGUGAAUUGCAGAUUUUCAGUGAAUCAUCGAAUCUUUGAACGCACCUUGCGCUCCUUGGUAUUCCAAGGAGCAUACCUGUUUGAGUGUCAUUUGAAUUCUCAAGCCAAGGAUUUCUUUUCUUUGGUAUUGGAAUUGGGAGUUGCAGGCGGGGCUGAAGGGUCCGUCAGCUCUUCUGAAAUGUAUAUUAUAUAUUAGCCCGUUGCACGGCUCGAGUUGGAUGUGAUAAUGAUCAUCAUCAUCAUCCCCCCUUGGGCUGGAGUGAGCGGGUGUUGUGCGCGCAGAGAGAGGGGGGGUACUGGUACUUAGUACUAGUACCUAGUACUUGGUGCGCAUUUCUUAUGAAUUGACCUCAGAUCAGGUAGGACUACCCGCUGAACUUAAGCAUAUCAAUAAGCGGAGGAAAAGAAACUAACAAGGAUUCCCCUAGUAACUGCGAGUGAAGCGGGAAGAGCUCAAAUUUUAAAUCGGACAUGUGUUUGACUGUUCGAGUUGUAAUCUAGAGAAGCGUGUUCUGUGCUGGACCGUGUACAAGUCUCCUGGAAGGGAGCGUCAUAGAGGGUGAGAAUCCCGUCUUUGACAUGGACUACCAGUGCUCUGUGAUGCGCUCUCGACGAGUCGAGUUGUUUGGGAAUGCAGCUCAAAUUGGGUGGUAAAUUCCAUCUAAAGCUAAAUAUGGGCGAGAGACCGAUAGCGAACAAGUACCGUGAGGGAAAGAUGAAAAGCACUUUGGAAAGAGAGUGAAACAGUACGUGAAAUUGCUGAAAGGGAAACGCUUGAUGUCAGUCGCAUCGAAUUCCAGGGGUCAACCUUGCCUUUGCUGCUGGGUGUAUUUCCUGGUCGAUGGGUCAGCAUCAGUCUUAGUGUGCCAUUGUACAAGGGCGAAGGAAAUGUGACACUCUUUGUGAGUGUGUUAUAGUCUUUUGUCAAAUGCAGUGGCUGGGACUGAGGAACUCAGCACAGGACCUAGAGUUGAAUUGUGCUUAGGAUGCUGGCAUAAUGGCCUUAAGCGACCCGUCUUGAAACACGGACCAAGGAGUCUAACUUGCCUGCGAGUGUUUGGGUGUUGUAAACUCGAGCGCGCAAUGAAAGUGAAUGUUGAGACCCCUGUCGUGGGGGGCAUCGACGCCCGGACCUAAGUCUUUGACAAAGGAUCUGCGGUAGAGCAUGCAUGUUGGGACCCGAAAGAUGGUGAACUAUGCCUGAAUAGGGUGAAGCCAGAGGAAACUCUGGUGGAGGCUCGUAGCGAUUCUG
rnacentral:rRNA from 1 species